rnacentral:lncRNA from 1 species
GAUAGGGGUAGUUCUGCCACUGUGUCUCAGAAUACUCUCUCAGAGGAAAAAGAAUGGAUUAGGAUAUUGGAAGGACCAGAAAAGCCAUUUAUUGUUCCCUGUGACCCAGGAAUGGGGUAUGGGUAGGAUAGAGGAUUUCUACACUUAAUAAAUCCCAGUAUGGUCAGAGUCAAGAUCCCUAAAGAACUGAAGGACCUCCUCAUGCUACUGAGGGUGACAGUAUAUGUCUGUGUCUCUGUUCCCCACAGGUGACAUUUUCUGGAGGCUGAUUCCAGGAUGCAUUUUUGAAACCCGGUUGGCAAGUUUCCCUGACUAUGGCUUUGGCUGAUCCUCCCCUACAAGCAUAGCUUGAUGUUACUGCACGCUACUUUGGUCUCUGCUGAUGAGGGAAGAGAAACCCGGGGAUCUUCAUUUAUUUAAAAGCUUAACUUAGAGGAUAAGAUCAGUGAACCAGUGCUGCUGCUGUUGAAGGAGAAGAAGAGAAAGAAAGUAAGUAGAGGGGGAUCGGAUAGAAUAAGUCUCUUAUUCUGAAGGGAAAGGGGACACACCACAGGGUUGUGAGCAGAGACACUGGAGCUGACAUAAAGGCCCUACAAGGUCUUUUCAGCUGCCUGUGUUGAGACCAAGAAGACGGUUAAGCGAGAGAUCAGGAAAAUUAGGUAAGAGCUAUAUUGGCCAUUGCAUAUAUAAGGCCAUUGUAACAGCAUACUAGAUACUUUAAAAUGACAGAGAUGUACUCAUUCCACAGAUCUGGAAAGUACGUCUGAAGACAAGGUGAUCUGGGCAUGCUCCCACUCAGAACUGUGCUAGAGAAUGUCUAUCCCCCGUUCACCAUCCCCCAUCCAUGUCU